UUGGAGGGCAAGUCUGGUGCCAGCAGCCGCGGUAAUUCCAGCUCCAAUGGCGUAUAUUUAAGUUGUUGCAGUUAAAAAGCUCGUAGUUGAAUUUCGGGGUUAGUAGGUUGGUCAUGCCUCCGGUAUGUACUGGUCUCACUGAUUCCUCCUUCCUGAUGAACCUUAAUGCCAUUAAUUUGGUGUUUUGGGGAAUUUGGACUGUUACUUUGAAAAAAUUAGAGUGUUUAAAGCAAGCUAACGCUUGAAUACAUUAGCAUGGAAUAAUGAAAUAGGACGUUCGAUCCUAUUUUGUUGGUUUCUAGGAUUGACGUAAUGAUUAAUAGGGAUAGUUGGGGGCAUUAGUAUUCAAUUGUCAGAGGUGAGAUUCUUGGAUUUAUUGAAGACUAACUACUGCGAAAGCAUUUGCCAAGGAUGUUUUCAUUAAUCAAGAACGAAAGUUAGGGGAUCGAAGACGAUCAGAUACCGUCGUAGUCUUAACCAUAAACUAUGCCGACUAGGGAUCGGAUGAUGUUAAUUUUUUAAUGACUCAUUCGGCGCCUUACGGGAAACCAAAGUGUUUGGGUUC
rnacentral:rRNA from 1 species